AUGCCAGGGGAAGGGGGCGCCGGGGCACAGGGUGAGGGUCGGGUACUACAACCGCAAGUGCCCCGCGCGGAGAUCAUCGUCAGGGCCGUCGUCGGCAAGGCCGUCUCCCGGAACCCCGGCCUCGGCGCCGGCAUCAUUCGCAUGGCCUUCCACGACUGCUUCGUCCAGGGCUGUGACGCGUCGGUGCUGCUGGACCCGACGCCGGCGAACCCGCGGCCGGAGAAGCUCGGCCCGCCCAACUUCCCCAGUCUGCGCGGCUUCGAGGUGAUCGACGCGGCCAAGGCGGUCCUCGAGAGGAUCUGCCCUAGAGUCGUCUCCUGCGCCGACGUCAUCGCCUUCGCCGCACGCGACUCCGCCUUCUUCCUCAGCAGCAGCAGGAUCGACUACAAGAUGCCGGCGGGGCGGUUCGACGGGAGCGUGUCGCUCGAGAGCGAGGCGCUGCAGUUCCUCCCCCCGCCCUUCUCCAACCUCACGCAGCUCGUCGACAGCUUCAAGGCCAAGAACAUGAACGAGGACGACCUCGUGGUGCUCUCCGGCGCGCACACCAUCGGCGUGUCGCACUGCUCCUCUUUCACCGACCGCCUGCCCCCGAACCCCUCAGACAUGAACCCCGGCCUCACCAGGCUGCUGCAGAGCAAGUGCCCCGUCAGCCCCAACUUCACCAACGACCCCACGGUGGCGCAGGACAUCGUCACCCCCAACCGGAUGGACAACAUGUAUUACACCAACCUGCUCAAGCGGAACGUGCUCUUCAUCUCCGACGCGGCCUGCCAGAAGAUGCCAUAG
rnacentral:rRNA from 1 species